rnacentral:rRNA from 1 species
AUUUUGAUCUGGCUCAGGACGAACGCUGGCGUAGAGGUUUUUAAUCGGCUCAUGGAGCGCACUGAUGGGAUCCUUCUCCCAGACAUGACGAACGAUGAAGCCAUUCGCGGUGGAUUAGUGGCGAACGGGUGAGUAACAUCGUUGGCAAUCUGCCCUUCAUUAUGGGACAAGCCCUUGAACCGGGCUCUAAGAACAGGAUAUGAGUCUGGGAGGCAUCUCCCGGGCAGGAAAGCUCCGGCGGCGAAGGAUGAGCCCGCGGCCUAUGCAGUCUUGUAGGUGCGGUAAUGGUAUCCCACGUGGGAGGCGGGUAGCCCACAUGAGAGGUCGGCCGCCCACCAGGCUCCUGAGACACGCACCAGUAUCGUAUGGUAGGCAGCAGUGGGGAAUAUGGCGCAACGGGCGCAAGCGAGAGACAAAGGCGCUGGGUUAGGGAAGAUGGCUUUUCGGGGGUGAACAUGUUUCAGCAGGGAAGAAGGGACAGUGACGGUACCUGCCGAAGAAGCCCCGGCUAACUACGUGCCAGCAGCCGCGGUAAUACGUAGGGGGCAGAGCGUUGUCCGGAAUUAUUGGGCGUAAAGAGCUCGUAGGCGGCUCGUUACGUCGGAUGUGAAAGCCCCCGCGCUCAACGCCGGAGGGUGCAUCCGAUACUGGCGAGCUUGAGUGCGGAAGAGAAAGAUCGGAAAUUUCCUGGUGGUAGCGGGUGAAAUUGGCGCAGAAUAUGCUAGGAGGGAACACCAGGUGGGCGAAAGGCGACAUCUUCUGGUCCCGUUACGGACGCUGAAGGAGCGAAGGCGUGGGGAGCAGAACGGAAUUAGAUACCCUGGUAGUCCACGCCGUAAACGAUUGAGGGACUAGGGGUUGACGACUUCCCACCCUUUCGUGCGCCACAACUAACAUUUUACACUCCCCGCGGGGGGAGCACGGCGCGCGGGGUUAAAACUCAAAGGAAUUGACGGGGGCCCGACACAGCGCGAGGAACCUUGUGGUUUAAUUCAACGCAACGCAAAAAACCUUACCAGGGCUUGCACUCUACCCCACAAAGCUUUAGAUAUAGUGCCCCCCUUGUGGUCAGAAUACGACUGGUGCAUGGUUGUCGUCAGCUCGUCUCGUGAGAUGAUGGUGUAAGUCCCCCCGCGACCACAGCCCUCGUCGAGCGUAGCCGGCAUGACCUUCUUGGUGACGCUAACUCGACUGACACCGACGGAGCCAACUCAGAUGAGGAUGACGACGACUCCUCAUGAUCCUGCUGAUUAGGUCUAGGGCUGCGCUCGUGCGGCUGUGACCGGUACAUGCAGCAGCGAUACCGUGAGGCAAACCCAAUCUCCAUUCUCAGUCUCGAUUCCGAUUGGGGUCUCGCCCUCAUCACCAUGAAGUCGGAGUUGCUAGCAAACCCACAUGACGCUUGCUGCAGUGAAUACGUUCUCGGGCCUUCCGCACGCCGCCCGUCACGACACGAUAAUACCCGACGCCCGAGGCCUAUGGUCCUGCAGCUUGCGGCAUGGAGCUGUACGAAUGAUUACUGGCAUCGUACAGAUUCUCCCAAAAGGUCCCCCAAAAAUCCCCGU